GGGGGGGAUUGGGGGUUCAAACUCCCAAACCCAUGUGACAUACCUCGCGGUUGCCUCGGCAGGUGGCGUCUCGCCCCGUAAGGUGCUACCCUGUAGGGCCUUACCCGGUAGACGACCCUGCCGACGGCCCCCGAAACUCUGUUUUUAUAACAUUAGACUUCUGAAAAGAUAACUAAAUAAGUUAAAACUUUCAACAACGGAUCUCUUGGUUCUGGCAUCGAUGAAGAACGCAGCGAAAUGCGAUAAGUAAUGUGAAUUGCAGAAUUCAGUGAAUCAUCGAAUCUUUGAACGCACAUUGCGCCCACCAGUAUUCUGGUGGGCAUGCCUGUUCGAGCGUCAUUUCAACCCUUAAGCCCCUGUUGCUUAGCGUUGGGAGCCUACUGGACCUUGUCCGGUAGCUCCCCAAAGUCAGUGGCGGAGCCGGUUCGCACUCCAGACGUAGUAGCUUUUACACGUCGCCUGUAGCGCGGGCCGGUCCCCUGCCGUAAAACACACCAAUUCUUAUAGGUUGACCUCGGAUCAGGUAGGAAUACCCGCUGAACUUAAGCAUAUCAAAAAGCCCGGAGGAAG
rnacentral:rRNA from 1 species